GGCUUUCCCACCAUAGCUAUGAGGGGAAGGGGAACAGUUGACAUGCUUUUGGGGCCUCCCCUCGGCCCUGCCUACCCACCCAAGCUCAGAUUUGGGCCCCCUCUCUGCUCUCGCUUCGUCUCCCGGGUUUGGCAGCCAAAGAAAGGAUCGCAGCGAGUCUAUUGACUCUCUUUUGCCCCCUCGCGGAUCUUGUGAGAACUCUGGUGAUUCCCAAAUAGUUUUCUCCCUCCGGCCUGCUUGUUUCCCAAAAGUGGAACAUUGGGACUGAGGAAAGCUGGGGCAGGGGGGUCAAAUAACUUGUAGCUGGCAAAACUGAGAGUGGUUUUCCAAGCGAAGAGUUUGAUUCCUCUUCUGUCGAGUGGAGAGAAUCAGCCCAUCUCCUGCAACACAGAAGUAACUGGUGAAUUUAAAGCCCCCCAGUACAUGGUUGUAGGUCCUUCUGUUGUGCUUAUGUGGAAUGCUGCGUCAGGAUGGCUUGAUGAGCGGUGCCAUGUCUGCGUCCAGGAUCCGUACCAGUGAAACCCUGUGCCACCAAAGUGGACUGCGUGAACUUAACCACCUGGCCACGGGGCCAGCCCCCCUUAAACUAUCUUAUUUAUAUGUUAACUUUUUUCCCCCCUCGCCCUUUAAAAAUGUAUCUUUCCACCCCUAAGGGCAUUAUACACUGUUGUAACCCCUAAUGCCUAAAACAGUACUACUAUUCUUCUAACUAGUAUGUAUUAGUUACGAAUAUGUUUGGCUGCAUAUAACAACAACAACAACAAAAUGACAAGUAGUGGACUUAACGAAUAAAGAUUUAUUUUACGUACCUAAGG
rnacentral:lncRNA from 1 species